rnacentral:rRNA from 1 species
GGUCAAGCGACUAAGUGCAUGU